AUAAUGAUACUCCUGCCUAGCCACAGACUCACGCAAUGGGGCAGUCUUGUGAGAACCACAAGAGAGUGAAAUUCUUGUG
rnacentral:ncRNA from 1 species